rnacentral:ncRNA from 2 species
CCAAUAGCGUAUAUUAAAGUUGUUGCAGUUAAAAAGCUCGUAGUUGAAUUUCGGGAUUAGUACGUUGGUCGUGCCUUCGGUACGUACUGGUGUUACUGAUUCCUACCUUCUGACGAACCAUCAUGUCAUUAAUUUGGUGUGGCGGGGAAUCAGGACUGUUACUUUGAAAAAAUUAGAGUGUUUAAAGCAGGCUCGCGCUUGAAUACAUUAGCAUGGAAUAAUGAAAUAGGACGUUGACCCUAUUUUGUUGGUUUCUAGGAUUGACGUAAUGAUUAAUAGGGAUAGUUGGGGGCAUUAGUAUUCAAUUGUCAGAGGUGAAAUUCUUGGAUUUAUUGAAGACUAACUACUGCGAAAGCAUUUGCCAAGGAUGUUUUCAUUAAUCAAGAACGAAAGUUAGGGGAUCGAAGACGAUCAGAUACCGUCGUAGUCUUAACCAUAAACUAUGCCGACUAGGGAUCGGAUGAUGUUAUUUUUAAUGACUCAUUCGGCGCCUUACG